ensembl:lncRNA
UAAAUGUCUUGCUUUUAUGGUCAAUGUGUAGCCUAUGAGAAUAGUUUGUAAGUCGAUGAUUUAAGGGAAAGGUUCACUCUUACCCUGUAAGCAGUCUAUGGAGGUAGGACAGCAAUCCAUGCUGUGGUUUAGUUUCCCUGGCACGGUUUACAAAUGCUAAUGUUUUAGCAUUUGUGGACGCAAAUCCCAUUCAAGUCCUGGUACCGAUAUUAGCUUUUUUUUCCCACGCCUCACGUUUGAACAUGAUGCGUGAAAAAUGCAGUUACCCAACAGUGUGUAUGCCACCAUCUUGGUCUAUUUAAAAUCUCCUCUCAUUGAUUGAGACAGGUGGGUGUCCACUCCAAAGUGCCGCCCCCUGCAACGAGACUUGGACGUUUGGAACGGGGCAGCAGGUAUCCUAGUGGUUAGAGGAGGUAUCCUAGUGGUUAGAGGAGGUAUCCUAGUGGUUAGAGGAGGCAGGUAGCCUAGUGGUUAGAGGAGGCAGGUAGCCUAGUGGUUAGAGGAGGGAGGCAGGUAGCCUAGUGGUUAGAGGAGGUAUCCUAGUGGUUAGAGGAGGCAGGUAGCCUAGUGGUUAGAGGAGGCAGGUAGCCUAGUGGUUAGAGGAGGUAUCCUAGUGGUUAGAGGAGGUAUCCUAGUGGUUAGAGGAGGUAUCCUAGUGGUUAGAGGAGGCAGGUAGCCUAGUGGUUAGAGGAGGCAGGUAGCCUAGUGGUUAGAGGAGGGAGGCAGGUAGUCUAGUGGUUAGAGGAGGUAUCCUAGUGGUUAGAGGAGGCAGGUAGCCUAGUGGUUAGAGGAGGCAGGUAGCCUAGUGGUUAGAGGAGGGAGGCAGGUAGCCUAGUGGUUAGAGGAGGCAGGCAGCCUAGUGGUUAGAGGAGGCAGGUAGCCUUAGUGGUUAGAGGAGGCAGGUAGCCUAGUGGUUAGAGGAGGCAGGUAGCCUAGUGGUUAGAGGAGGCAGGUAGCCUAGUGGGUAGAGGAGACAGGUAGCCUAGUGGUUAGAGCGUUGGAAUCCCUAAACUGACAAGGUAAACAUCUGCCGUUCUGCCCCUGAACAAGGCAGUUAACCCACUGGUCCCCCAGUAAAAAAAAACAUGUGUUUUAUCUCCCAAGUUGGGAAUUGAGGAGGUAUGAAUAAUUAAAGGUUGGUCAAAAAUAUUCUGUGCUAAGUGUUUAACAUGACCUACUUAAUAAUGCCUAUCAGCAUCUUAAUUAGAACAAGCAGCCUAUCAGCAUCUUAAUUAGAACAAUCAGCCUAUCAGCCUGAUAGACAGACCAUCAUUACUGUUCUAUGUGAUAUUUCUAAUAGCUGAGUCUAUUGUUCUCCCAACGGCCCAGUGAUGUACUGGGCCGUAUGCACUACCCUCUGUAGUGCCUUGGGGUCGGAGGCCGAGCAGUUGCCAUACCAGGCAGUGAUGCAACCAGUUAGGAUGCUCUUGAUGGUGCAGCUGUAUUUGGACCAUGAUAGUUUGUUGGUGAUGUGGACACCAAGGAACUUGAUGCUCUCAACCUGCUCCACUACAGCACCUUUGAUGAGAAUGGGGGCGUGCUGAUGAGAAUGGG